ensembl:snoRNA
AUCCUUUUGUAGUUCAUAAGCGUGAUGAUUGGGUGUUCACACCGUUCUGUGACAUGUGCCACCCUUAAACCUUGUUACGACGCCAGCACAUUCCCUGUCUGAUG